rnacentral:rRNA from 1 species
CCUACGGGUGGCAGCAGUGGGGAAUAUUGGGCAAUGGGCGCAAGCCUGACCCAGCAACGCCGCGUGAAGGAAGAAGGCUUUCGGGUUGUAAACUUGUUUUGUCAGGGGAGAGUAGAAGACGGUACCUGACGAAUAAGCCACGGCUAACUACGUGCAAGCAGCCGCGGUAAUACGUAGGUGGCAAGCGUUGUCCGGAUUUACUGGGUGUAAAGGGCGUGUAGCCGGGUUGACAAGUCAGAUGUGAAAUCCUGCGGCGUAACCGCAGAACUGCAUUUGAAACUGUUGAUCUUGAUUACUGGAGAGGCAGACGGAAUUGCUAGUGUAGCGUGGAAAUGCGUAGAUAUUAGGAGGAACACCAGUGGCGAAGGCGGUCUGCUGGACAGCAACUGACGGUGAGGCGCGAAAGCGUGGGGAGCAAACAGGAUUAGAUACCUGUGUAGUC